CAGCACUUUACUGCUUCUGUUCUCAAAGGCCUUUGUCACAUGACAGGUCUUUCAGGAUAGAUGUUAUACAGUAUAGUCCCAGCAGCCGCUCCCAGUCACCAGUCUGGCAGCCACAUUCUGCAUUAAUUGUAGCUUCUGAGUCACCUUGAGCGCAUUGCAAUGGUCCAAGCUGGAGAUAACCAAAGAAUGCACCACUCUGGCAAGACAGUCUGCAGGCAGCUUCCUCCUCAGAUUCAGAAGAAACAACAGCAAUUAGCUGGCAGUCAGAACCUGAUCUCUUUCUCACAACUACCACACAAGAACAGACAACCAAACAAUCCUCCCCAGAUUCCUCUGUGGAUUCAGAAGAAACAACAGCAAUUAGCAGUCGGUCAGAACCUGAUCUCUUUCUAAUAACUACCAAACAAGAACAAACAAACAACCAAUCAGGCUUCAGCCGUAUUCCAACAGAAUACCUGAUUUAUGGGCUUUUCACCUUGAAAACCCUUAUCUUCCUGGGUCUGGUCAUUGCAAUUAUCUGGAUGCAUAGAAGAUACAAUCAGAAGAGACCUUCAGCUGCCACACGGCAAGAAAAUGCUGCACAGUAAUCCCACAGUGACCAAUGUAACUGUUGUUAAGCUUCUUUACAUAAUAUAUUGUUUUAGCUAAUGCUGUUAUAACUCCAGUAUUCAAACUAUUUGUGUCUUAAUAGGCUUGAUCUUCCCUAAAAAAGAGCAGUAAAAGGUAUGCCACAGGUUAUUUAGAUGCUUUCCUUUUAAGUGUGUUUUAAAAGAUGUGGCCAAUCUACUAGAUUUGCAAUCUCAAUCAUUUAUCUGUAACUUGGACAACCCAUCUGCAGCAAAUUACAAUGAGAGCUAGUUUUCAUGGGCAAGUGCCACUUUUUGUAAUUUUUAUUGGAAACCAGGGAAGGGGGGAUGUUUUCUGGCAAAUUACCUGUGACCAAUACAACAAACGACAAUUCAUUGACCUCUACAAAUUGAUGCAAAGCAAGACCCUCUGCACCUAACCCUUUAAAACGCAUUCACAAGUUUCAGAUCAGCACCGAGUCCCUGAAGGAUGUUGCAAUCUCCAUGGGAAUUUGGUCUUGAUUUGUUUAUUUUGAACCCAACAUUUAUCAUCGUUUGCAGGGAAGGCAAAUGUCAACAAAGUUCCUUUUUAAAAAACACACAAAAGAGUUGGAUUUCAUACUCAUGAACAUCAUAUUGCCAUCUCUUGGCCAACCAAUUUUCUUUUCAGUGUCUCUUUCCUUCAAAUGGAACAAUAACAAAGCUGCAAAUUGACACCAGUACUUCAGUACACUACAUUUUUCUUCUGAGCUUUAUUUCCAAAUACUCACAGUUCUCAGUCGCAAGGAAUAAUG